rnacentral:rRNA from 1 species
UACAGAGGGGGCAAGCGUUGUUCGGAAUUACUGGGCGUAAAGGGCGCGUAGGUGGCCCGGUCAGUUUGUGGUGAAAGCGCGGGGCUCAACUCCGCGUCGGCCAUGAAUACUGCUGGGCUGGAGCACUGUAGAGGCAGGCGGAAUUCCGGGUGUAGCGGUGGAAUGCGUAGAGAUCCGGAAGAACACCGGUGGCGAAGGCGGCCUGCUGGGCAGUAGCUGACACUGAGGCGCGACAGCGUGGGGAGCAAACAGG